UGGGGGAGAACGCUGAAGUCGUUUGUACUCGCCGGGCUUGUAUGUGCUCCCCCCCCCCCCCCCCCCCCCCCCCCCCCCCCCCCCUCCCCCCGCUACUGGAAGAUCUUUUUUAUUUUCCUUUGCCGCCUCCUAUGCUGGCAACGUCCUGCGAGUGGCUAUUUUGCUUUUGCGCCGAAGGAAGAGCUCCCCCCCUCGCCCUCUCUUCUGACACUUAUGGAUGAAAUCCACACUGAUGUCUAACCUGUAAUGAAUGACAAUCCCCUGCUGUUAAAAAGAGCAGCUACAAGUCCCUGCCUUCCUGAGUGGCAAGACUGGUCCCAGCCUGCUGAGCUCACAGUUUACGGGCUGAUGGCUGCUGUAAUCCAACAGCCACUGCCUCUCUCUGAUGAUGGAUACAGCUGAACAGUGGGGUCAGUGAAAUCUGCCCACUGCGACAGCCAUGGCUUCUGGAUCACCACAGGUCCUGCUGUGAGAUCCUUCUGCAGCUCUUCAAGGUCAACAUUAGGUCUGACUCCAACUGUGAAUAUUUUCCUUUUAUCAUCUGCAGUCUUUACAACUGCACUUUUUCAGACUGUUUAGGAACAGGUAGACCAGCAAAGGUGCCAGUACAAACCUCUGUGAGGGGGCAAUGUGAGGGGGCAAUGUUAAAACUGCCCAUUAGUCACUGUUGCUUAUCUUCUAACCUUUUACCUAUCCACAAAGAAUUUUAAGUAACUCCAUACUUCAUUUUGUUAACAGUCUUCAGUUACAGAACUUUCAAAAAACUUUAGGGUCACUUUUUCCUGUGGGUCUGAAAAUUACUCCUUCAAAUAACUAGCAAAGCUCUAAGACAAAACUACUUGUACAAAAGCCACAAUGGCUGCUAUUACACCUAUGCGUGUUCCUAUUAAUUUUUCAGCAUUAAUUUUUGAGUUCCUAUUAAUUUUUUUUCCUAUUGAUUUUUGUCACAAUCACUGGGAUUUUGUCUGUCAUGGUAGCCUGACUUUUUAGUUCAGUAGUCCAUUACCAUCCCUAAAACCCCUUUUAAAACUAGGGUCACAUUUGUUACUUUCCAUUUCUCUGUUAUCAAGGCUAAUUUAAGUAGCAGAUUACACAACACAGCUCAUCGUUUGUUCACCAAUUUAAUUUCUGAUUUUUUCUAGGACUACUGAAGGAACAGCAUGCUACUGGGCAAUUUAUUAAUGUUUAUUCAAUAAAAUCAUUAACAAAACUUUAUUGAAUAUCAAAUAUGAACAAUUCCCUACAAAAAAACAACUCCUAUUUGGGGAGGGCCCUAAUCUUCCUGUCAAACACCUUGCCAGUUCAAUGAGUUCCAUUAUUUCUCUCUGUAAUGGCUUUGUCUUUCCCUUAACCACAAUUAUCUAUUAAACUCACCUCCUUACUAGCAAAAUUUACAUGUGGAAAGAAUGGGGUUUGGCUUUUAGAAUUUUAGCCCAUUGCAUUUCAAAAUCUUUUAUGUUCUGCCUCAUAUUAGGUCUACACUUGCCAGAAUUGUGCUCUUUGCUGCUUUGCUUGCUUGGAUUUUACUUUUUAAAAAAAACUUUAGUUUCUAGUAGUUUCUUUUACUGUUGAAUUGUGUUGGAUAAUUCUUAUUUAAUUGGGUUAGAAUCAGAAAACAAAGUCCCCAUAUAAUUUUUUUUAUAUUUAUUUAAACUGUAUCUUCAUUGGCAUGCAAUUCUUUUUUUUAAACAAGACUGGAGUUUUACAAAUUUUAUUUUAAUCUUUUUUUCUCCUACAAGUUUGACAAACUUGAGUAUGGUAUUUCACUACUGAAUGGUUCUUCCAUAGUCAUUUGUUGUGUGCUGAUCUAGACUAAAUCAAGGGCUGUCUGUCUCCUUCUGGAUUUCCUAGCUUGUUUGCUCAAAAUUUAGUGCUCAAUGAUACCUAAAUACACAGCCUGUGCAUGAUGAGCUAAUGUGGCCUGCCAUUAAGUUYUUCCUGUCCAUAUAUAUUUAACCAAGAAGUGUUGCUAUGAUCAAGCUUUUGUGUUAUACAAUCUCCCCAGUCUACCACAGUAUUUCACUGCCUCCAUCCCACCAGCUAGCCCAGAGCUCUUACUAAAGUUCUCCUAUUCAGCUGUAUCACCAUAUAGGACUACAUCUUGUGUCUAAUUCUGAUAAAAUUAAACUAUUGGACUAAAUUUUCUUUGGUACAUACUGCACCAUUUGCCUGCGUAGUCCAAGCUACCAUCUCUGUAAUCAGCCAGGCACUCAACAUUCCAUCAUCUCCGGCCACAUGUAUGAUCCACACACUAACAUUUCAGUGUCCUCUUGAAAGAAAGGAAAGAGUCACAUGCAGAUACCCUUACAGCAUACCUGGGAAAUUCCUGCUUGAGUUCAUCCUUACCACUUUUCUGAAGAUUCAUUACUUUCAAGGUACAAUGAAGCAGAGCACUAUGAGAUAGCAAUGUACCAAGAUACCAAAUAAAAACUAGUGUAGGUUCCUUCCCAAGAGAGAUCAGGCGGCAUUUGAAGAAAGGACUGAUGAAUGCCACAGUUGUGUUAUUCAAGAUUUCUGUACCAAGAGAUGUUGUGACAGGAAGGGAAUAUAUGAAGAAUGCUACAGAAGUGUAAGAAGUCCUUCUGCAUAUGUGGCAGAACUUUGUGAUACUUGCAUUGACUUCCUUAUAUGAGAUGGGGUAAUCUGUUCUUACUGGUGUGGAGAAGAGAGGGAUGCUUUUAGAACACAAUGCCAGUAGCUACAGACUUGAGUUUGGCAGCUGAGAAGUCCUCCGGGGCUAGCUUUUUUUUCUGUUGGCUGCAACUCUUUCCCUUUUAUGAGGCCUGUGGUUGAAGCACCUUGUUUCUGCAUUACAUGGCAUCAGACACAACAGAACCCAGCAACUACACUGCAGCAUCCAGUGUGUAUUCAUUAUUAUUUAUCUGUACUACCAUAAAUCUUGGAAGGCCUCACCCUGAACCACUUGCAUUACACUGGGCCAUCAAUAAACAGACAGCAAAACAUAGAUGUUUAAAUUCUACAUAGAGACAACAGAGGGAUUAUGGCAGAGUCCAAAUGCAAUGACAUAGUACUACUGUGGUAUGUGCUGCCAUUAAUAUACCUGCAAUAUAACUGUUGUCUGGCUGGACUGUUUAAAGCUUCACAGUACAUAAAUUUUUAAAGAAAAAAUUAAGGGGAAGAUAGUGAACAUUUUUGUUUAUAAAGAAGUCUACCAAUACAUAAGAGGCAGCUAAGGAGAAAAUAUCCAGUGUGGUAUGAAAAUCUAAUGACCAAAUGAUAGAAGUUGGCAUCGUAUGUUGAUCAAAACCAGAGUCAACCUCUUGACACUGAAGGAGAGGUAUCAGGUAGAAGUAGUCUUAAUGGGCCUUAAAAAUAAAGACAGAUAGCUUAUCUUUAUUGCUUUAAAAUGAAGCAGAAAAUUGAAAAUAUCAAAACAGUAGGUUUGGAAAGUGGUAUUUACAGCUGAGCAGCACUUUAACUAGCUAACAAGAAAGGCAAGACUGCAUUUUGUCAAGCCAAAGUAAAAGAUUUUCUAAUAAAGAUCCAUGAAAAAUCUGGAUGAAAAAGUACCAUCAUCUGACAGAGAAGAAUGACUAUCCUUUAAGGGUUGGAAAAAGAUUCCCAAAAUGCAGGCCUAGAUUUGACGACAAAACGAAUGACAGCACAAUGUUAUCAUUCAUAAAGGAUCCAGAGAGGUUUUGUGAGGGCAUCAACCUAAAUACAAGAAAACCUACUAGCAAAAGACCAAGAGUUGUAACUGGAAAUAAAGAACUGAGGGCACUGCUGAAGAAAACUUUCAUGCAUUAAAUCUGCUUAGGACUGGAAAGGAAGAGGUAUAUGAAACGCAUGAAACAUUGUUUUUCCUACAAAUACUGAGAAAUGAGAUAUUUCUUUGGUGUCACAUUUAAAACUAAUUUGUUACAGCUAUCUAUGCUACCAUGCUUUGACUUUCAAGGGCUGAAGAAAAACAAUGUUCGUGACAUUACAAUGUGAGGAGUGCAACAAUGUGAGAAGUGCCUCAUUCCACUCAAACAAGGACAUGCUACAUUCAGGGCAGGCACCAUACGAGUAGAGUGCAAACCACAGUAGACAGAAGCUCUUGGAGACUUACAACUAACAUGCUGAAUGUUCAGACACCUUCCCUUGCUCUUCCUUCUCAGUGCACAGAAGGAAACUUACUCUGUUGCUGUAGUUCGGCAUUUCAGCUCUUGAGGUAUUCUUAAGCCCAGACAAUGUGUAGCUGUGCAGCAAAUGCCCACUCCCUACAUCCCAAAACAUCAUCUCCUUCUCUUGAUAUCUGUUUUCUUGCUCUUGUCCUGGUUUCAGUCAUUUAUAGCAUCACAGCAUGAGUUAAACCAAAGAAACAAUCAGAUCAGGUUUAAAACAACAGGUGCAAGAAGCAGUAAGUACUAGAGAGCUGGUUACAGCAGGAGACAAUUCAGAGUUCCUUCUCUUCCGAGUAUUUGUAGCAGUACUGCUGCAGGCAGAACAGAGCUGUGCCCCACCAUUAUCUCCCUAAAAAUACUGGGAAGUUGCCAUCACGGGAAGUGGAAGCAGUCACACCCAAGUGAUCUGCCUCUCAAUGGUGAUGAGAGAAAAAAUCAGAUACAGAUGAAACACGCAGAGGAUUCCUCAUACSCCACUCACUGGCAUGUCACUUUCCUUCCUUUUCUUCUCUGAAACUAGAUCUAUUCUGAGGCACUGCUGACCUAGAGGCACAGCUAGAAGGCUGUGUUUAAGGUUUGGGGUUUUUAUUUUUGCAAUCAUCUAAUCUCCCUCUGCAUUUCUUUCUUUUACCAAAUUUACUGCAAGUAAAAAUAUGUAUGGCCAAUAGGAUUGAAAGGUGAAAACAGAAAAUCUAUAGGUCAAAAUAUUUUAAAAGGAAAAUACGCUGAUUGAGACUUCUUUUAGUGCAAAAUGACACAUCCAAUAUCCUCAAAUAAUUAUUUAAAUUCAUAUUGAAAAAUCCCAAUUUCAUUUUAUAUUGCAAAAUCUCAGAAGAAUCGCUGUUCAGGCUCUUAAACUAGAACUCUGAAAAUACCCAUCCUGUAACAAAUAUAAUAAAAUUGUGGUUUGAGCACUGUUGAAGGUGAUGCAUUUCAAAAUCAUUAAGUUUUGUGUUUGAAAAAGAAAUUAUGGCUUCUGCUUAGCACUAAUUUUAUUUAGCAACCCAUUGUCCUCUGUUCUUAGUUGUAACUGUCAUCUUGAAUACACAAUUCAUAUACUAAUUCACAAGUAGUUACUGAGUCUUCUUUAAUGCUUUAAAGUACUUAUACUCCUCUCCAACAGAAGAAAACCAAAAACUUGGAGAAAAGCAUUUACUGAUAGUUUUAAACUUAAAUCUAUCAUAUAUUCAGUGCAAUGAAAAAUACCAAUAUCCAGUUAUCCAUUUAGUUCUCCUUUCAGGUAUGUUUUUCAAACCAUAUUAUGGGGUUUGGUUUUGGGUUUGGGUUUUUUGGGGUUUUGUUUGUUUGUUUGUUUGUUUGUUUGUUUGU